GUAGUUAGCCGUGGCUUCCUCCUUAGGUACCGUCAUUAUCGUCCCUAAAGACAGAGCUUUACAAUCCGAAGACCUUCAUCACUCACGCGGCGUUGCUGCAUCAGGGUUUCCCCCAUUGUGCAAUAUUCCCCACUGCUGCCUCCCGCAGGAGUCUGGACCGUAUCUCAGUUCCAGUGUGGCCGAUCAGCCUCUCAGCUCGGCUACCCAUCGUCGACUUGGUGGGCUGUUACUCCGCCAACUAUCUAAUGGGACGCGAACCCCUCUUAUACCGGAUUGCUCCUUUGACCUCAUCCCGAUGCCGGGUCGUGGUCUUAUGCGGUAUUAGCAACCGUUUCCGGUUGUUAUCCCCCUGUACAAGGCAGGUUGUUCACGCGUUACUCACCCGUUCGCCACUAAGUUAUCAACCGAAAUCAAUAACUCCGUUCGACUUGCAUGUGUUAGGCACGCCGCCAGCGUCGUCCUCGAGCCAGGAUCAAACUACUGA
rnacentral:rRNA from 1 species